rnacentral:rRNA from 1 species
GGUGGUGCAUGGCCGUUCUUAGUUCGUGGAUCGAUUUGUCUGGUUUAUUCCGAUAACGAGCGAGACUCUAGCCUACUAAAUAGCGGGGCUCUUCUUUAGCUGGAGCCACUGCUUCUUAGAGGGAUUUUCGGUGUUUAGCCGCACGAGAUUGAGCAAUAACAGGUCUGUGAUGCCCUUAGAUGUCCGGGGCUGCACGCGCGCUACACUGGCAAAAUCAGCGUGCUGUAUCCAUUCUCGAAAGGGAUUGGUAAACCCAUGAAAAUUUGCCGUGCUUGGGAUCGGAAAUUGCAAUUAUUUUCCGUGAACGAGGAAUUCCAAGUAAGUGCGAGUCAUCAACUCGCUCUGAUUACGUCCCUGCCCUUUGUACACACCGCCCGUCGCU